AGGGAUUGCCUCCCUUACGGCGAGUGAAGCGGCAACAGCUCAAAUUUGAAAUCUGGCGUCCGCCCGAGUUGUAAUUUGCAGAGGAUGCUUCGGGGCCGCGGCCGAUCUAAGUCCUUUGGAACAGGGCGUCAUAGAGGGUGAGAAUCCCGUAUGUGACCGGCUGGCACCCCACACGUAGCUCCUUCGACGAGUCGAGUUGUUUGGGAAUGCAGCUCUAAAUGGGAGGUAAAUUUCUUCUAAAGCUAAAUACCGGCCAGAGACCGAUAGCGCACAAGUAGAGUGAUCGAAAGAUGAAAAGCACUUUGGAAAGAGAGUCAAACAGCACGUGAAAUUGUUGAAAGGGAAGCGCAUGCAACCAGACUUGUCGGCGGUGUUCCCCCGGUCUUCUGACCGGGUCACUCGCCGCCGGCAGGCCAGCAUCGUUUGCGACCGCCGGAGAAAGGCGCGGGGAAUGUGGCUCCUCGGAGUGUUAUAGCCCCGCGCACAAUACGGUGCGUCGCGAGCGAGGUCCGCGCUUCGGCUAGGAUGCUGGCGUAAUGGUCGUAUGCGGCCCGUCUUGAAACACGG
rnacentral:rRNA from 1 species